UUGUAAGUUGAAUAAUUUUGGUGUUUCUACAAAAUUAUUAGGAACUGCAUAAGUAAUUCCCGAGAGAUCGAUAACCUUCGAUCCAUCGAUCAUCCCACUUAUUGUUAUCCAAAAUGGCAGAUCGUGCAGUGGUCGAAGGCGUGAAGGUGAAGACAGAUGAUGACCAUGAUGACCGUGAUGACACUCAAGUUUUCAUCAGUGAUAGUAGUGAAACAAGUGAGCGCCAGAAGAGAUAGUGUCCAACAUCAAGAUUGAGCCUGAUGACAGUGAACUGGAGCUGCAGAUAGCCCUCGCGAAAGCAUGGAGACUGAAGCUGCAGGAGGCUGUUACAGAAUCAAAGAAUAGUGUGGAAAAGGUGGCAGAGGCAGUACUGGAGAGAAACUCAGAAGGAAACACGGAAGGUGGUUCCAUUGUGCUGAAUGGUACUGCAGAAUUCUGCCGACUUUGAGAGGAAAGUGAUUGAAGGGAAGAAACGUCAGGAAGAAGGCAAAUGGAACUUGGAAUGAAGUUGAGAUUGAGAUGAUGAAAAGUUUGGGCGUUGCGAGCGCUACAGUGGUCCAACUUCAGACUUCAAAGAGGAGGAGGAGGGCUACUGACCAGAUGUUAAACUCGACUACACAGAUAAUGAUGCACAUGUGCGUAAUGCAAAGGAGGC